ACAUGCCUACAACAUAGCGUUAAUGCAUUGGAUCCCAUUAGAAUUCUGCAAUAAAGUGCGCUCGAGCUAGAGUAGUACUGGGAUGGGUGACUGCCCAGGAAGUACUAGUAUUUUACAUGCC
rnacentral:rRNA from 1 species